CCUACGGGAGGCUGCAGUGGGGAAUAUUGCACAAUGGGGGAAACCCUGAUGCAGCGACGCCGCGUGAGUGAAGAAGUAUUUCGGUAUGUAAAGCUCUAUCAGCAGGGAAGAGAAUGACGGUACCUGAGUAAGAAGCCCCGGCUAACUACGUGCCAGCAGCCGCGGUAAUACGUAGGGGGCAAGCGUUAUCCGGAUUUACUGGGUGUAAAGGGAGCGUAGAUGGCGAAGAAAGUCUGAAGUGAAAGCCCGUGGCUGAACCGCGGAACUGCUUUGGAAACUUUUUUGCUGGAGUACCGGAGAGGUAAGCGGAAUUCCUAGUGUAGCGGUGAAAUGCGUAGAUAGUAGGAGGAACUCCAGUGGCGAAGGCGGCUUACUGGAGGGUAACUGACGUUGAGGCUCGAAAGCGUGGGGAGCAAACAGGAUUAGAUACCCCUGUAGUC
rnacentral:rRNA from 1 species